GCUCUGGUCAAGUUUGCUGUUUCAUGUGUCUUGGGUUGGCUUCGCUGAUAAGCAGACCUAGGAGCUGGUAUGCCUCAGAUGUACCCUAUGUUCCUGUAUAGCACUUUAGCUUUAGUAUUCCCUACUUUCUUCCUGUUAUUAGUCCAGUAUAUGGGACAGGGAUUCUGCUUGCUUCCAUUUAUUCAGGAUUAACUGCCUUUUCAAUUAGUUGUCUUUAAACUUGAAUGUACAUCAGUAAAAUCUGGAGGGCUUGUUAAAUCUGGAGGGCUUGUUAAAUCUGGAGGGCUGGUUACUGGGCCCUACCUUCAGAGCUGCUGAUUCAAUAGGUCUGGAGUAAGGUUGGGAAAUUUGCAGUUCCCAGUUGAAGCUGAUGCUGCUGGUCUAGGGAAUCACACUUUUAGAAGAACCACUGUGAUUUGCCUAGACUGUCUUUGUUAAUUCUCAGAGGAUCCCUGUGAAAUAGGAAUAAUUAUCUCCCCAUUUCACAGAAGAGAAAAUAGAUGUUAAAGAAAAUUUAUUCCAAAAUACAUAGGUUAGAUGGGGUAGAACAGAAGGUAAUCAGACUCCAGAGCCAAUGGUCCUAACAGAGCAUCCAGCUUACCUGGUAGCUUUGCUUGUGUUCUAGCUACUCCUCUAGAACGAGGCGGUGUCUGGAAACAACUGGCAGCCAGCAUCCUUGGAUCUUGCUUUGCUCUUGUUAACCUGUCUUUUCAACUUGUAUCAUAAAUCCUCGUUUUAAAAUGCCGGUACCUGAGCCAUAGUUGAUUCUGCUGUCAUGUUGGAACUCUUGCUUAGGACUUCUUUGCUGCUGUCACCAAAGCUGCUAAGUAGCCUGGUUACUUUCCUUUGUCACCCAUGGUUUUGUUGUUGUUGUUGUUGUUUUCUGGCCCUAUAAUUUUUCCUAUUGGCUGGUUAUUUGUUGAGACCUCAAGCUAUCCUGAGUCAAAGUCACGCAUGGCAUAAUGAUCUGUGUCACCU
rnacentral:lncRNA from 10 species